GAGGAAACGAAAAUUCCGGCUCGCCCGCGCGGACUGAGCAACUGAGCAGAGCAGCGCUGUCCCCCAAAGAUGUCAUCUCAAGCAAAGUUCAAGAAAGACAAAGAGAUUAUCGCGGAAUAUGAAACUCAAGUGAAAGAUGUAUCAGGGGCACAACAACCAGAAUAUGCAUUUGGAAUGUUUUGAAAUAAUAAACCAAGAAAUUUGGAAGGCAGACCGUUGGAGAAGAGGACUGGUUUGUGUCUAAGUAACCCCAUGCAUUUUGAGCAAAGAAACAAUAAGGCUCUUUCCAAUAGCAUGUAGCUAUUAGCCUUGAACAUCAAUCUUCACAUGCAACUCAUCAGUCAUUACAGUGUGUGGAGUGUCCUGCUCUGCGAGUCUUGCAGGUGACAUGGGUAAUGGGCUGGAGGAGGAUUAAUCUAUCUAGUCAUGAAAGAGUGAAAGUGCUGGUCUGCCUGAGAGAUUUAAUUCUUCCUUGGAUCAAGACUGUAGUUGCCUUCUCCUUUCCCUACCUCUUUUCUUCUUUCUUCAACAAACAAGAAUGGACUAUUAUUCCACUCAACUUUUGUUUAAGGUGUAGUCCUGCCUAUCCAUUUAGCUACAAGCAAAUUACAGGUAGCCAUGAUGUGUUCUAAUGGGAGUGCGUAGGAUCUUCUUCUAAAGGGUGACUUUCUGAUGGAAUAUUUUGUUUUACUUGUUAGAUUUGUAUCUUGCACGCCUGUAGAAAAUCUUAUGCUGCUUUAUGAAAUUAUUUUGAAUUCAAAAUUAUUUGAAAUACGCAAGGAAGGGUUAACUAUAUUGCCUUUAAAGAAUACACACAGUUUAAAAAAGAUACUGCAGUUUGUGUGUGGUUUUUUUUAUGUUUAUGGUUUGAUUUUCUUUUAUUAUUGACUUUUUAUCAUACUGAAGCUUUCCAGACAUCUGUGACAUCAUGAUUGGCUAAUAUUCUAUUUACAUGUAGACCUAUAGCUUAAAUAAUAAAAGUAGCAGCUGGCACUGAAGCUGAAUAGCA